rnacentral:lncRNA from 10 species
CUGGUUUUCCGUGGAGCCCUAACCCAACUGAUCUCACUUCAGCUCUGCCUUUGAUGGGGCGGUGGCAGAUGGGAGGCAGAUCCCUUCUGGUCCUUGCGAACCUGCCCCUAUGUUCGAGAGGGCACAGGCUCAGGAGAGGGGUUUCCCUGGUCCCCAUCCUGCUGUGCACUGGCCAAGACUUGGAAUCCACACCCCAGUCCUGCUCUCUGCAGGCUUCCUCAGCAUAUCACAGGCACAAUGGUAGCAGGCUCACACACACACACACACGCUCAUACACAUGGCACACACUCACACGCAAAGAGCCACACAGGGCCAACAUGCUCACACACACUGUGUAAGUGUGCAUGAGUGCACACACACCACACAUGCAAACACACCACACAUACAACACAUACAUAUACACACCACACAUAUACACACACACCACACCACA